UGCUUCGUUCCUAUACCCAACUGGGUAGACCAAAGCUGCGCACCUUGACUCUGCCCUCCCAUAGCCCAAAAGAUGAAGGACAGGACCGUCUUAACCAGGUAUUUGGAGUACAUUACAGCCACGCACCAAGGUCUAUGUGGCAUGUGCACUCAAGCGACUGAGGAGUGUCAAGAGUUUGAAGCCAACCCAGGGUACAUAGUUGGACACCGUUUCAACAGAGGAGAUUUUAAGAAAAGAAAUUAAAAUUGUAUUUCUUCAAAUAUUUAUUAAUUCUUUGGGAAUUUCACCGUGUAUCUUUAUCACAAUUCCCCACCUCCCCACUCCUUCCUCCAACUCCUCCCAGAUUGAAAAUGUAUACUUCAUUUAUCAACCCAUUCAUUCCCCACGAGUUCAUUGCCUAAUUCUUAUUUUCCCGUUAUUACCUAUAAAGAAAUAAAAUACCCAUUGCUCAG
rnacentral:lncRNA from 1 species